rnacentral:lncRNA from 1 species
GUUUCGAAAGCAUGUUCUAGCAUCCUAUCAUCACCUAUCAGAUAAUCUACCAGUUCAUGGUUUUUAUAGAAAAUAUGAUAUAUAUUAAAAUAUAGCUCAAUAUAGGCCAACAAUUAAUUCUUCACCAAAAACAUGAGAUGAAAAUCAACAAUUUCAAUAAACAUGCUUAACAUAAAAUCAAAUUAUAAACUCGUAAGGCAUGCUAUUCAUUUAUGCAAUUGAACUAUAAAAUCAUAUAAUUUUAGAAGGGGUCCACUCACAGUACUUAGCCGCUAGAAACUGCGCCACUAGCGAAGACGGAAACGUCACAAUAAUUGCCCCUAAGCACAUAAAUAGUACAUUUAGUCAAACUCUACUCAAAUGAUUUAAUUUGGGAAAACGGACAUCGGAAAAGGAUUCAGGACGUUGAAAUUAGCCUAGGGGUCUCGGACGAAAACUGAAAGUCAACCCCAAAGUCAAAGUCAACGGGUCAGUCAAUUGGGUUAGACUAGGUCAACGAGUUUUAAGCUUGGAUUCGGAUUAGGGCUUAGGUCCAAAAGCCCAAGGGUUUAGAGAUUGGGCUUAAAGCCCUUAUUAGAAAAUGGCCCAAGGGGCCCUAUUUGAUUUAAAACAAAUUAAAUAAAAGAAAAUGGGUUUUGGGUUGGGAUAAGUUUAGGGACAAAAAGGGUGGUGGUUUAGGCUU